GGCCAUAUCAUAAACAACAGUUCUCAUAUGAUCACCAAAGUUAAGCAAUGUUGAGUCUGCUCAGUAUCUAGAUGGGUGACCGCUUGGGAAUACCAGGUACUGUAAG